AGGUGGAUUUGUUUAAAAAGAGUCUUCUGUUGAUUCCUAUUCACCUGGAAGUCCACUGGUCUCUCAUUACUGUGACACUCUCUAAUCGAAUUAUUUCAUUUUAUGAUUCCCAAGGCAUUCAUUUUAAGUUUUGUGUAGAGAAUAUAAGAAAGUAUUUGCUGACUGAAGCCAGAGAAAAAAAUAGACCUGAAUUUCUUCAGGGUUGGCAGACUGCUGUUACAAAGUGUAUUCCACAACAGAAAAACGACAGUGACUGUGGAGUAUUUGUGCUCCAGUACUGCAAGUGCCUCGCCUUAGAGCAGCCUUUCCAGUUUUCCCAAGAAGACAUGCCCCGAGUGCGGAAGAGGAUUUACAAGGAGCUGUGUGAGUGCCGGCUCAUGGACUGAAACUCAGCAGGGACUCUGGGAAGUCUGACCAAAUUGGAGCAGAUGGUUUGUUACUUGAAUCUCCAAACACUUAUUUGAAUUUUUACAGAUAUUUCAGAUCAGUGGUGUUGGACCACUGUUGUUACCUCAAAUUUAUUUUUUGCCCUUAUUCAUUUCUCUAGUUACCAUGUACUAUUUUUUAAUGUUCAGUUUGGUUUCAUUUUUAAUUUUAUGGAUUCUGUGUGCCCCCCCAUAUUUAAUAUUUAUUAUCCAAAUGCAUGCAUAUAGACAGAGCAUGCAGUGCAGAGUAUAAAAAAAAAAAAAAGCCUAGUAGAUUCGGUGCAGCUUUUGAGAAAUAGUUAGGUGAACUGAAUACAGGUUUAAAUUUUGAUUCCAAAACCUAAAAAUGCAGGAUGUUUUUGAUACAGCAUAACUGUAAGAAUAGCAGAUGUUCCCUGGGCAUAAAGGAUAACUAGGAGGGGUUUUGACAAAGCCAGUCCUGUUUAAUUUUUACCGGCAGCACCUUUCACUGACUUCCCUCUUCAAGUGAGUCACAUUCCUUUUCAAGGGUGAAAAGGAAGUGGCCACAAACUGACUGGUAUGUUCUAUUUUGGAGGCACAGUUGUAAGCACAGUGCCUGCUUUGGGAUGAGUUGAAUAAGGUAUGAAAAAAAGACCGUGACCUUGGAGGUCUAGUUAUCUUCACACAUAAGAGAUUUCAGUCUUGAUUUUAAGAAGAAUUACAGUAAGUGCUUUAAUCUUAUAAAAGCUUUUGCUGGACCACUGAAUUUCCUGGAUUUUUCUGAUUUGGACCCAUUAAAAAAUUAAUAUUUGUCAAACUAGUGGUCAAACAAAUGAAAAUCCAGCCUUUCUAAGAGUAAUUUAUAGGCUGUCACUUCCCUUAUUCAAAACCGAAGACUGACUUCAGGUCUUUUGCAAGAGGGUCGGGAGGAGAGAACAGGAAAGGUAAUAAGAAGACUUGAUACUGUGGGAGUAGAGCAAAUGUUAGUUUUUUCCCCUCUUAUUAUGUGAUCUCAGCCACACACAGGGCUUCUUACCUGGCCUCUACUUGACCAACCCUGAGAUUCCAGCCUUUUUUUGCUUUCAUGAACUCCACCCUCUGGGGAAAGGCAAAAGUGGCCUUGUCCUUACCCUUAGCUGCGUUAGGAUUAAAGAAAGGGCUCUUGCAUCUUUAAUUUAGCCUUUUGUGAUAUUAGAAAUGAGAGGAAAUUAGGAAAGAUGCAUGUAAAACUAUCCAAUUAUCUCUCUGAACCGGGGUAGGAAAAACAACAAAUGCCUAUAUAAGAAACUCAGAGGCGUGGCAGAAAAGGAGUAAAGGGCAGAAGAUACUUGGAUUUAUGCCUAGUUAGGUUUGGGAUGUUGAAAAUAAAAAGCUAAACUGUGCAGUUGAACUUGGCCAUAAAGUAAGGCUGACUCCCAGCAGUUGAGGGUGGGGUCAGAACAUGUUUACAUGCAGGGUUCCCGUCCCCAGACAUUCCAAGCACCAACACCAGUGUUUACAUUGUAAAAUAGCCCUAGCACUUUCCUAGUCCCAGACGCAAAUCCCUUAGUAUAAAACCAGGUCAGUAUUUCUUACUGUGCUUCAGGUCAUCAAAAAGAUUGAGAUUUAGAGGCACUAUGUGCUGCUACGGGGAGGGGUUCUGUCAGCAUUGGGAAAGGUGACAAAAUGGGUUGGGUGUCUUCUUGAGAUUUCAGGCAUAAUUAUGCAAACAGAUUUUUCAAAUCUGUAUGUGAGACAUUUGCUUAACUUUUUGGGGGGUGGGGAGGGUAACUAGUAACUAGGCUAUUGAUUAAAAAUGUCUUAUACUUUAGAGCUGCAUAUCUCACUUCCUGACAGAACCAGGCAUACAGAAGAGACAGAACUGUGUUCUGGCAAAAAUCUUAAUGCUCCACAGCCUGAGUUGCUAUUUCAUCCAGUCAGAGAAACGGUCAUGCUGUCAGUAGUGAGAUAGAGAGCACCUAAAGAGAGCUGUCCCAAGUCCAGGGUCUCUUUCAUGUCCGGCUUAAUAGGGUACCUUGAGCCAUUGUUCAGCAUGCUUUAGCCUAAAUGUCAAAUACUUUGUCUGCUUAAAAUGUUUCUCUCUUCACGAAACUUGGUUUCUGAGCACAUAGCUGUUUCCCCUUCCUCCUCUUGUGAGGUGUGUAAACCUCUAUUUAGCCCAAGUUCUACAUUAGAAUGGCCUUUGUCCUGAUGUUUGCAAUACUGGCUUCCUUGCAACAGACAUUUUUGAAAUAUAGUCUGGGCUGUUGGUAGAAGAGACAUUGUUUUACUGUCACUAGCUUGGCACUGAAUUGUUAGGGUGCCCACAAGGUAGGCAGACCUUAUGCUUUAGGGGUUGAGGGCAGGCCUUGUACAAACUAAAAGCUGCUUAUGAUGUGCCUUCAACAAGCUGCUCAGUCCUCUCCAUCAGCAAACUUAGCAGUCUGUAGUUGCUUUUUUCCUUUUGUUAAGUCUAUAGUAAUGAAUGUAGAUUUAGUUCAAAUUUUAGUUAUGUUCUCUCAAGAGUUAGAGAACCAGCAUUCUCUUAAGGGAAAAGCAGCAGUUGCUGCCAGUAAUCCCCAGGUCAUUUUUUUGGUUUUGCAUUUUAUUUGCUACUUAUCAUUCAAUAUGAUUAACACUGGUCAUCUUGAAUUCAUAGUUGGAACAAAAUAACAGAUCUAACUGGGACACAGCCAGCACAGCACUAGCCCAAGUUGAGCUGCCCCUUUUCUCUGCAGUUGUGGUUUACUACUUCCCUGGGUUAGAAUAACUGGGACCCUUCAGGCAACCACCAGUGUGGUAACAAUGUGAAUAAGAUAUACUACCUGCUCUGCUUAAUUAUGUUAUGAAACUGAACUAAUCAGCAGUUAUAAAGCACAUACUCUUUGUUAUGUGCUGGCUCUGCCUCCUGGCCUGUAGAUAAUUAAGACCUAGGGAAUACCAUCAAAAGUGCUCACUGUAUUGGGUGUUAACAAAAGCAGAUCUAGACAAGCUGUCCACUUAAAUGGUACCUUUUGGUCAGAAAAAUUUAUUUAAAGAUUGUGAUCAUGUAAAAUUACUCAAACCUUCUAGCAAAAAUAUUUUUUUGAAAAAUAAAAUAAAUG
rnacentral:lncRNA from 1 species